CGUUGCUCCCGUUGACCACUGUAGAGAUAUAGUUUUCCCUUCGGGGACAACGGUGACAGGUGGUGCAUGGUUGUCGUCAGCUCGUGUCGUGAGAUGUUGGGUCAAGUCCCGCAACGAGCGCAACCCUUGAUCUUAGUUGCCAUCAUUUAGUUGGGCACUCUAAGGUGACUGCCGGUGACAAACCGGAGGAAGGUGGGGAUGACGUCAAAUCAUCAUGCCCCUUAUGACCUGGGCUACACACGUGCUACAAUGGACUGAUACAAACGGUUGCCAACUCGCGAGAGGGAGCUAAUCCGAUAAAGUCGUUCUCAGUUCGGAUUGUAGGCUGCAACUCGCCUACAUGAAGCCGGAAUCGCUAGUAAUCGCGGAUCAGCAUGCCGCGGUGAAUACGUUCCCGGGCCUUGUACACACCGCCCGUCACACCACGAGAGUUUGUAACACCCGAAGUCGGUGAGGUAACCUUUUGGAGCCAGCCGCCGAGGUGGGAUAGAUGAUUGGGGUGAAGUCGUAACAAGGUAGCCGUAUCGGAAGGUGCGGCUGGAUCACCUCCUUU
rnacentral:rRNA from 1 species